rnacentral:lncRNA from 1 species
ACCGGGGAGCUCGCCGGGCAAAGACCUUCCCGUGUGCGGGUACCAGACGCAACAAUCCCCCUCGUAUGCAGGUGUCAGGCUCCCUCCCAGGCGCAGGGGCGUGGCCUGAGGAAGUGAGUGGAAGUGACGGAGUUGGGCGGGAGUGAGAGGACUUCCGGACUGGGCGGGGCUAGCCAGCAGCUGGAAGCGGGACCUGCUUGGCGGCGUGCGGGACUCGGCUGGCUCAGGAUGAGAAAGGGAUCCGGAAGGGUGGAAAGGAAAGGAGGGCUAGGGAGUCAUCUUUGUCCCUUUUCCGGAGCGGAACGCCGCUUUGAGGGAAAAGCGCCUCGCCCUGAAAAUACAAACCCAGAGCCCAGGCAGCGGGUCGUCGUGGGGCCAGCACCCCUCGGGGCUCCGGUCGUGUCCUGAGGCACUCGGGACUGUCCGGACCCCUGGGCCCUUGCUUCAAGAGUUGGCAGUGAUCGGGCAUAUUUAGGGACAAUACUUGUGAUUUCCGGGGCUCAGCACCUGCUCUUGGAUCUUCUCAAGGCCUGCUAGAUUUCAGAAUCUCAAAGGUUUGGCCACUGCACUCCCAACCCCUAAGGAAAGGAUGGGAGAUGAAUUAUUAAAGGACACCGGGGCCAUUAGCAUAUCGGGCCUCACCUCUCUGGGGCCCUUGCCCUUGAGCAACUGAAUGUUUUAUUGAAGAGGAAAAAACAUGCACGAAAAAGGUACGGAACUGAGAGGGAAGGAAGAUGUUAUUGACCACAGACCCCAGUAUUGGAUUUCUCCCAUAUUUAAGCAACGAGGGGCAGAGUUAAGCCCUUUUGGAAUGGUAAUUUCACAGAAGGAAAGCAGAAAAGACCUAGUUAAUACUGGAUACAACAUGAAAUUAAAAACGGCUUCUGGGAAUCACCGCAAUGGUCGGAGCCUGUGAACAAUGACAAAGUUGGAAGGACUUCGGGACUGUCAAUGCCCGGGAAGGCCACAGGAGGGCAGCAGUGCCCCGUCAUGGAAAGGCUGACGGCUUCAGUUUAGUGCAACCUUUUUUUUUAAUUUUUAUUUUUUAUGUUUAUUUACUUUUAAGAAUGAGAGAGAGCGUGAGCAGGAGAGGGGCAGAGAGAAGGAGACACAGAAUCCAAAGCAGGCUCCAAGCUCCAAGCUGUCAGCACAGAGCCUGACAUGGGGCUCAAACUCAUGGAACAUGAGAUCAUGACCUGAGCCAAAGUGGGACGCCUAACAGACUGAGCCACCCAGGCGCCCCAUAGUGUAACCUUUUCUGAAAUGAACCUGGAAAUGAUGAAAGCAACCAUGCGUAAGGGGGGAGGAAAUGCAUGGACACUCAAUUUUUACAUCUUUCUGGAAGUCAGUAGACUAUGUUAAAAUCCUGCUCUUAAGUAAAAAUAUGCAAAUUUGUAAAAGAUCUAAGAAAGUGCAUUCUUGGUUAAAAUUAAGUUUAACUGUCAGACAUUAUUAAGAUUUCAAAUACCAGAGCGGUUGUUUCUUUAAAGCUAGAGUAUUCUGUAACAAUGCAAAUUCCGAUUUGUGCCCAUCCUCUCCCUCUUCAGCAUUGUUUGAGAAGACUUUUGGUAGUCACCUUUUCACCUUAAAAGCUCCCCUGGUUACCAAAAAAAAAAAAAAAAAAAAAAAAAAAAAAAAAAACCAAAAACCAAAAAACAACAACAAAAAAAACUUCCUUGUAUAUUUUAUACCAAUUUAAAAAAUAUGCUACACUCUCAAUCUAAAGCCAUAUACAAUUUAAUAAGUUAUUUUCUAUAUUUAUAAACAACCUAACUUUCAUCCAGAGCUGUUAUCAGAAAGAUUGCCUCUGUUUUUUUCAAACCACAAAAAGUCUUGUUUUGUUAACCAGGCAAUAACAUUUUAAGUUUCAAACUGUAUUGUGAUAUAAUAUGCUCAAUUAAAACAAACAGCAUUUUGUAAAUAUAAGCCUUUACGUCCUGUUUUUAUUAGUUUAUGUGUAGAAAUUGGCUAUGGAGCUUGAGAAUCACUAAUGCAGAGGUUCUAAACCAUAGCUGCAUUAUUAGAAUCGCUUGAGAAACUUAGAAAAAAUGGCAAUGCCAAAGCAUCAUCCCAGAUCAAUGACAUGAGAAACUUAUGGAGGGUGGGACCCAGGCAUCAGCAAAACUCCCCAGGCAAUUCCAACGUGCAGCCAUGAUACUAAAAAUACUGAGGUCUGAUCUCAGACAUGUAGCAAUCUGAUUUAAUUCGAAUCUGCAAAAAAGACCAAGAAAACUUUUUGUGUAAACAAAAGCAAACCCUGUUAUUACACAAAUCAAGCUUUCUACUUUCAUCAUUGGGGCUUGGGUUUGUAAGCACUUAAUCAUACCCACGCACUGACGUGAUGUGGAAGGUAUAUCUGCCACCAGAUACAGGCAUAUAGACACCCGGUUAACUCAAGGUUCGGUAACAUCACAAAGGCUCUAAGAGCUGGGCAAGUCGGGAGAAGCUUCACGGAAUGGGCAGUAGGAGCUGAGCCUUGGGGAAGAUGUCCAGGACCCGGCCAGGACUAGAAGUGCUACAGGCGACAGUGAACCAGGAACACAGCCCAGCACGUGGGGCAGACGGUCCGCUCGACGGACAAUAGGUUCUUUGAAGAAAUGGAGAAGUCUUCGGAAGAGAAGUUGGGAUUUAAUUGUAGAAAGCUUCAGGGUGCCUGCGAGAAACCUUGCACUUGACGCUGUGCGCCUGUGACUGAACACCUCUGAGCAGGAGAGGCCCAGGACGGGCUGGGCGAGGAGCCUGGACACAUUCAAGGCUCUGCAAUGUGAGGGGCUGCAGUGGAAUGCGUAGAGAAGUCAGGCCAAGUACAAGCAUGCUCUGCUCUGAGCUAAAACACACUGGAAAUGAACGCAUCGUCACAAAUGAACAUUCUCCCAAUCUUGGAUUUUAUUUUUCACAACACUUGAAGAUCCCAUUUUCAAAAUAUGAACAAUAAAGACCCACCCCCCCACGGGACUUCUCAUUUCACUGCAAAUAUUCUUCCGGUUUUAGCAACCUUUCACAUAUGCUGCUUUCCACGUCAUUAGAGAAACUUUUCAUUUUAUCCCAUAUAUAUAAAUGUAUAUAAUGGCAUAUAUAAUUGCCAUUAUUUGAAAAACAAAAUUUAUAUUUACAUAUCGAGAGCAAUUUUGUAUAAAUAUACAAAAUAAAAAAAAUAAAUUUGAAGCAGAAACUAGUAUAAAAGUCUGUUUUGGAAAAACAACGUAACAAUAACAUAACAAUUUUUUUGGAAAAUAGCAUAACAAUCUUUGGUUGCAAAAGAGUCAACUGGGCUUGUUAAAAAUCAACAGUACAGCCAUCUCUUGUUUCUGAGCAAGUGCUACAUCCCUGAAAAGUAUGUGAAAAUGGGUAUAGUAAAACUUCAACUCUGUACUUAAUUCAAAAUUCCUGUUUCUUUCUGCUCAAGCGUAUCUUCCCAAAGUACCUCACCGAUCCCUCAGGGAGGGGACACUUACAGUGCAUCAUAAACAUGCUUUAUCCAUAAAACAAUACUUGUAAAACAUGAUUCCCAAUCAUGUCCUUCUCAAGGCAGCGUUUCUUUGGCCUAACUUCUGCUACUAACUAUAAAAGUGCGAAACAAAAUUUGCAAAACCGUAAUCUGAAUGUGAGCGGCUGUCCCUCCUCUCUGCCCAGUGGUUUGUUUGAAAGAGACCCUGCUUGAUGUGAGGACUCAGCGAGGUCACGGUCUGUUCCACCCCAGCAUCCGGUGCUAGCACAGCUGUUUUGCUUUUUUUGGUUCCUUUGUUCCACCGACAGCAGAUACUGUUUCCUUUCCUGAAAUGCAUGGCUUAAUUUUUACUGUGCGUUUAGCAGAUAUGGUAAGAUGCACAUAAAAACUAAGAUUCCGGGGGCACCUGGGUGGCUCAGUCCGUUAAGCUCAGGUCGCGAUCUUGCGGUUUGUGGGUUCAAGCCCUGUGUCAGCCUCUCUGCUUUCAGCAAGGAGCCUAUUUUGGAUUCUCUGUCCCCCUCUCUCUGCCCCUUCCCAGUUCAUUCUCUCUCUCUCUCUCUCAAAAGUAAGUAACAGUAAAAAAACAAAAACAAAAACAAAAACAACUAAGAUUCUGAUACAACCUGAGGUUAUUGGAUGGAGAUGUUCCUGCCAAACUCACUACUCUUCUAUGACAUUGUUUAAAGUAAGACAUGUCCUUAUUCAAGUACAGGGAGAAAUUCACCCAUUGCUGGAAUUUAGAGUGGAAUCUAACUUUCUUAAAGAGCGAAAUCCUCUUCGAGAAGACUACAGGCCACAGGUUCACUCUGUGCCCCCGCCCAGCACUGCUAUGAGUGUGAGAGCUCUCUAACGUACAGAAGUUUCUGACUGAUUCUGAAUUCCUAACUGAUUUCUCACUGUUAUUGUUGUUUGAAAAAGUGAAGAACAAAGGCCAUAAACUUUAUAGCUUCCUUCGGUCACCAAGAUAUUAUAAAUAGCUAAAAAGUAUAUAGAAUUCUACCCUAUUUACUUUGAGUAUUUCUCAAUAAUAUUCUUAGUUCAGGAGGUCAAACUUGUUCACAUUCCCAGUUUUCAGUGUUCUUGUUUCUAAUGUUUUUUUUUUUUUUUUUAAUUUUUUUUUUUUCAACGUUUAUUUAUUUUUGGGACAGAGAGAGACAGAACAUGAACAGGGGAGGGGCAGAGAGAGAGGGAGACACAGAAUCGGAAACAGGCUCCAGGCUCUGAGCCAUCAGCCCAGAGCCCGACGCGGGGCUCGAACUCACGGACCGCGAGAUCGUGACCUGGCUGAAGUCGGACGCUUAACCGACUGCGCCACCCAGGCGCCCCGCUUGUUUCUAAUGUUUAAGGGCUGAGGUAGAAUAUAUAUAUUUGUAAAUGCAUUUAACACCCAACCAUAUAUAAAACACAUUUUAGAGUUGUUGAAAGAAUGAAUCUUAAGACUUGGCAUUACUCUGUGAACAAAAGAGACUUUAAAAUAACUUUCUUUUUUUUUAUUUUUUUUUAACAUUUAUUUAUUUUUGAGACAGGGAGAGACAGAGCACGAACAGGGGAGGGUCAGAGAGAGGGAGACACAGAAUCUGAAACAGGCUCCAGGCUCUGAGCUGUCAGCACAGAGCCCGACGCGGGGCUCGAACUCACGGACCGCGAGAUCGUGACCUGAGCCGAAGUCGGCCGCUUAACCGACUGAGCCACCCAGGCGCCCCUAAAAUAACUUUCUUUACAAAUGUAAUGUAAUUUAUUUUGGACGAUAGUUCCCUAGAUGUGGAGAUUUAGUUUAAAAAUUGUUUCCCCAUCUAAAUACUCCCAGGGGUAUUGUACAGAGUUGCCUUAUAAAUACAAGUGUUAUUUAAGGGAAAACAGGCCAGAUGUUCAUACCCAAAUGCAUACACCAUUCAAAGCAGCAUCAAAGGGUGAUGAUUACACUCAAACCACAUUGAAAUGUCAGCCUUAUGGCUUAAUGGUUGCAUCAUGAGAGUACAAGCACUAGAGAACAGCUUCUGUAGAUCUUAAGAUUUUAAUUGUAUCGAAAGAUAAAGUGAUGCCCUCAUUCGCAGAAACCACUUGGUACAUCUGCUCUGCCUCAGUGGUUGAUCUAUUCCAGUAAGUGGUAUAUUCACCUCUAACCUCUGUUUCAAUAAAAGGCAAGGUAUACAGAUAGCAUAAUUUAGUACAGGAAUUAAAUCCAGAGGCUUAGUAGGAAAAUGGACAACUAAAAACAUAUAUUUGUAGUAGCAAGAGACCCUGAUCUAGGAAAUAAAUGAUUCUUUUCAAAGUAAUUUCACAUGUCGGGGUGCCUGGGUGGCUCAGUAGGUUAAGC